GGGGUUGUAGCUCAGUGGUGGAGUGCUUGCCUGUCAUGCAUGAGGCACUGGGUUCGAUCCCUGACACCA
rnacentral:tRNA from 1 species